rnacentral:rRNA from 1 species
UACGUAGGCAGCAAGCGUUGUUCGGAGUUACUGGGCGUAAAGGGUGUGUAGGCGGUUGGAUAAGUGUGGUGUGAAAUCUCCCGGCUCAACUGGGAGGGUGCGCUACAAACUGUCUGACUAGAGUGUGGGAUGGGAAAGUGGAAUUCCUGGUGUAGCGGUGAAAUGCGCAGAUAUCAGGAGGAACACCGGUGGCGAAGGCGGUUCUCUGGGCCUUACCUGACGCUGAGGAGCGAAAGCGUGGGGAGCGAACAGG